rnacentral:ncRNA from 1 species
AUAGAGAGCUUAAGAGAUAUCGGCGCUCAUCUAUUUAAUUGGGAGUAUUAUAAUGUCUCUAAGUUUUGAAAUUAAAAAAAAAAUUAUCUCUACUUUCGGCCGUAACGCU